rnacentral:rRNA from 1 species
UACAGAGGUCCCAAGCGUUGUUCGGAUUCAUUGGGCGUAAAGGGUGCGUAGGCGGCGCGGUAAGUCGGGUGUGAAAUCUCGGAGCUUAACUCCGAAACUGCAUUCGAUACUGCCGUGCUUGAGGACUGGAGAGGAGACUGGAAUUUACGGUGUAGCGGUGAAAUGCGUAGAGAUGUGGAGGAAUACCGAUGGCGAAGGCAGCCUCCUGGGCCAACACUGACGCUCAUGCACGAAAGCGUGGGGAGCAAACAGG